GGCCAGAGAUCAGACCGCGUGCGUCCGACCCGGGAGCCCACUCCCCGCAUUCAGUUACUAUCAUUUUGGUCCUUCGUGGAGAACUUCUUGGGCUCCUUCCGGAGGCUUUUGUAGGAGCAGGAUGGAAGGGGGCCGCGCUGACCUCUUCUCUCUCACCUAGCACAGAGCUUCCCUUUCACGUGGAAGUAUCAGCCCUCCCUGACCCGACAGACCCCAGGUCCCGUGAACACCGUCUCUCUCAGGUCCCUUGAUCAGACUGUUGCCAGUGCCUCCUGCUCCUGCGGCGAGGUAGUCCCAGAUCCUGGCUGGCUUUCUACUUUGGAAAGGGUGCCAGAAGUCUCGCAGUUCUCAGAAAACUUCAGGGGCAGGGAUUCUCAAACUCGCCUGGGUAUGAGAAUCACCUGGAGAGCUCAGUCAGGGGUCCAGGCUCAUCGAUACCUGGGUCUUUGUAGUUGAUCGGGUUCUCGGGUGGUUCUCACUCCCACCAAAGCCUGAGAGCCUGUGGGGCCCUAGGUUCCUUGCACUGGCCAGCCUCUUGCUCCUCCUGCCUGUCCCCACCUGGGAUGUGAUUCCUCUUCUUCACCACCUCUGAUCACUGACCUGAGUGGUCAUGGCAGAAGUGACCCAGCCCUCUCUGGGGGUAUAGGCUAUGAGCUGGGCCGGGCCGUAGCCCUCCACAAACCAGUCCUGUGCCUGUUUCGCCCACAGUCUGACCGAGGUGGCUGCCUCUCCUGACCCAACUGUUUGACUUCACCCCAGUGUAUGAAAUUCUCCUGACCCCAGACUUGCUCUAGUACCUUUCCUGCCUCUUAGCCCAGUACAGACACACGGUGUGUUUUCAAUUCUAGCUUUAUGUCUGUGUGAGUGUGCAGGUGGGUGCGCGUCAGAAAUAAUCUUCUUAGCACCCCGCUUCACUUCAAGAUGUAGAGCCCUUUAAAGGUCUGCAGGCCCCCAAGAGAAGGAUACUACAUAACGCCCUCAAGCGCCCCGCAGGAACAUUCAGGAGUUUGGAGGAAGCUGGUCUUGGGAGGUUGCCAUUCCUCUGUCACUGAUGCUGUACUGGACACCUAAGUAUCCACUGAUGGAUGAAUGCACAAAGGAAAUGUGUAUGUGUAUAUAGUGUGUAUGGAUACACACACACAC
ensembl:lncRNA